GCGGUGGUGUCUUGCCAUGGCUUUGUUUGGACUUGUUUGUUUGCUUUUUGGCCUUGAAUGUUUGUUCCUAAUAUUUUAUUAGCUGUGCAUUUUGCAUUCAGGUAUCGCAGAUCAAAUUUAUUCGUUCAUAGUGUGUUAAUUUACGUUUUUUGAUUGAGUUAAGCCUUCCAAUUGAUAUUUUAUCGUGUGGUUUUCUAUGUUGUGAUGUUAUGCUAUUUUGUUUCAGAAAAAGGGAGAAGGUUUGGUACCAUUAAAACGUUUAAUCCCGCUGCAAAUGUUUGCACCUGUCCUAAGUC
rnacentral:lncRNA from 1 species